GGGGAGGGCCGCCCGGCAGCUGUGCCCGUAGCGGAGCGAGGGGUGGGUGUUGGGGGGGGGGAGGAUUUAACCCCUCCUGAUCGCUCCGCCGCCGCUCCCGCUCCGCUCCGGGUUCCCGACUGCUCCGCCGGGGACUCCGCGGCCCAUUUAUGCGGGCGGCGGGAGCGCUCCGUGACGUAGCUGCCCAUAUAUGGACAGACAAAGCCGCGCCGAGCCCCGCGCGUCACAAUGGAAGCUCCGCACAAUGGAACAUUAGAAAGCAGGAAGCGGCGCGCGGAGCGGCGGGGACGGGGCCUGCAGAGGGACCGGGAGAGCGGCACCGGGCGGCCGGAACCGGGCACCCUACGGCCAGAACCGGGUACCCUAUGGCUGGUAUCGAGCACCCUAUGGCCGGAACCGGGCACCCUGCAGCCGGUACUGGGCAUCCUAUGGCCGGAACCGGGCACCCUGCAGCCGGUACUGGGCAUCCUAUGGCCCGAACCGGGCACCCUAUGGCCCGAACCGGGCAUCCUAUGGCCGGAACCGGGCACCCCAUGGCCGGAACUGGGUACCCCAUGGCCGGAACCGGGCACCCUGCAGCCGGUACUGGGCAUCCUAUGGCCGGAACUGGGCACCCUAUAGCCGGUACUGUGCAUCCUAUGGCCGGAACCAGGCACUCUAUGGCCGGAACCGGGCACCCUAUGGCUGGUACCGGGCACCCUGCAGCCGGUACUGGGCGUCCUAUGGCCCGAACCGGGCACCCUAUGGCCCGAACCGGGCACCCUAUAGCCAGAACCGGGUACCCGAUGGCCGGAACCGGGUACCCUGCAGUCGGUACUGGGCGUCCUAUGGCCGGAACCAGGCACCUUAUGGCCGGAACCGGGCACCCUAUAGCCAGAACCGGGUACCCUGCAGCCGGUACUGGGUAUCCUAUGACCGGAACCAGGCACUCUCUGGCUGGUACCGGGUACCCUAUGGCUGAUACCAGGCACCCUAUGGCCGGAACCGGGUACCCUAUAGCCGGAACCGGGCACCCUAUGGCCAGUACCGGGCACCUUAUAGCCGGAACCGGGCACCCUAUAGCCAGAACCGGGUACCCUGCAGCUGGUACUGGGCAUCCUAUGGCCGGAACCAGGCACCCUAUGGCUGGUACCGGGUACCCUAUGAUGGGAACCGGGUACCCUGCAGCUGGUACCGGGCAUCCUACAGCCAGAACCAGGCAAUGGGUACCACACAACCGGCACCCUGCAGCCGGUACCGGGCAGCUUAGGGUGGUACGGGGUACCGUCCAGCCAGAACCGGGCCUCCUACGGCUGGAACCGGGUCCCCUAAGGCCGGUACCGAGCACUGGGCCCACACAAUCAGCACCCUCCAGCCAGAACCGGGCACCCUGCAGUCGGUAUUGGGCUCUGGGUGCCAUGCAACCGGCACCAUGCAGCCGGUACCGGGCACUCUGAUAAUACACCGGGUACCAAACACGUGUUGUAUGGGCUCUGGGUAUCCAGCACCAUGCAAAGGGCAUCCUGCAACCGGCACCGUGCAACCGGCACCGUGCAACCGGCACCGGGCACCCUACAGCAAGCACCAGGCUCUGGGCAUCAAAUGCAUCGAGCACCGUGCACUGGGCACCAUGCAUCCUGCAGCCAGCACCAUGCACUGGGUUCCAUGCAGUGUGCAUCCUGCAGCUGGCUCCAUGCAUUGGGCCCCAUGCAAUGUGCCUCUUGCAGCUAGCACCGUGCAUUGGACUCCAUGCAAUGUGCAUCCUGCAGCCAGCACCAUGCAACCCAGCUCUAGGUACCAUGCAGUCGGUACCAGGCACGCAGCGCUCAGCACCAUGCACUGAGCAGCAUGCAGCGUGCAUCCUGCAAGUGGGCUCCGUGCAAGCAAGCACUGAGUACCAUGCAACCUGCACCCGGUACUGGGCACACAGCACCACGCACCACGCAACGUGCAUCCUGCAACGGUGCCGUGCAAGCUGCACCCUCCACCCAGAAGCAGGCACUUAGCACCAAGCGCCGUGCAUCCUGCACCAUGCACCGUGCAUCCUGCAACCUGGCGUUGUGCAGCUCGGCAUCCUACACCCAGCACCAUGCACUGUUGCCAUGCAAGCUGCACCCUACACCCGGAACCGAGCGCCCUGCAACGCCAUGCAUUGUGCAUGCGGCCUUCUGCCUCCACGCCCCCCCAUUGCAGCGCUGCUGCUCCAGCGCAGCCCCCCCCCCCCCCCCC
ensembl:lncRNA